GAAAACUUUCCACAUUAGCCCGGUUCCAACCUCCCAGCAGCCGAGAUCCAGCUCUUCCGCAUCAGCCCGUUCCAGCCGCAUCCAACGAGCACACCAGCGAGCAGCUCCUCCGUCUUCCUUCGGAUUCACCUCCCAGCAGCCAAUGGUCCAAAGAAGGAAAGCAAUGAAGCAUGAUUCCUUCCACGGAUCCACACCAGCGACUAGCAUCCCUUUUUUCGCCAUCACCGUCCGCGUCUCCUCCGGAUUCAAAAUCCCCAAAUCCCGGAUCCCGUCCGCAUUCACCAGCAUCUGCAAAUCAAGCCCGAGAUCCAGCCCUUCAUCCUUUUCGUCCGCGAUCUACCCUCCAGCAUCACGCCCCGGAAUCCCAGCAGCCUGGCAUUCAGC
rnacentral:lncRNA from 1 species